UACGUAGGGUCCGAGCGUUGUCCGGAAUUAUUGGGCGUAAAGGGCUCGUAGGCGGUUCGUCACGUCGGGAGUGAAAACUCGGGGCUUAACCCCGAGCCUGCUUCCGAUACGGGCAGACUAGAGGUAGGCAGGGGGAGAGCGGAAUUCCUGGUGUAGCGGUGAAAUGCGCAGAUAUCAGGAGGAACACCGGUGGCGAAGGCGGGUCUCUG
rnacentral:rRNA from 1 species